UACGUAGGGUGCGAGCGUUAAUCGGAAUUACUGGGCGUAAAGCGUGCGCAGGCGGUUUUGUAAGUCUGUCGUGAAAAUCCCCGGGCUCAACCUGGGAAUUGCGAUGGAGACUGCAAGGCUAGAAUCUGGCAGAGGGGGGUAGAAUUCCACGUGUAGCAGUGAAAUGCGUAGAGAUGUGGAGGAACACCGAUGGCGAAGGCAGCCCCCUGGGUCAAGAUUGACGCUCAUGCACGAAAGGCGU
rnacentral:rRNA from 1 species